rnacentral:rRNA from 1 species
CCUUGUACACACCGCCCGUCACAUCACGAAAGUUGGCUGUACCGGAAGCCGGUGUGCUAACCCUCGGGGGGUAGCCGUCCAUGGUAUGUCCAGCGAUUGGGGUG